AACGAACGCUGGCGGCAGGCUUAACACAUGCAAGUCGAACGGGCACCUUCGGGUGUCAGUGGCAGACGGGUGAGUAACGCGUGGGAACGUACCCUUCGGUUCGGAAUAACCCAGGGAAACUUGGGCUAACACCGGAUACGUCCGCAAGGAGAAAGAUUUAUCGCCGAAGGAUCGGCCCGCGUCGGAUUAGCUAGUUGGUGGGGUAAUGGCCCACCAAGGCGACGAUCCGUAGCUGGUCUGAGAGGAUGAUCAGCCACACUGGGACUGAGACACGGCCCAGACUCCUACGGGAGGCAGCAGUGGGGAAUAUUGGACAAUGGGCGAAAGCCUGAUCCAGCCAUGCCGCGUGAGUGAAGAAGGCCUUAGGGUUGUAAAGCUCUUUCAGCGGGAAGAUAAUGACGGUACCCGCAGAAGAAGUCCC
rnacentral:rRNA from 1 species